GAUGAAGAACGUAGCGAAAUGCGAUACGUAAUGUGAAUUGCAAAUUCAGUGAAUCAUCGAGUCUUUGAACGCACAUUGCGCCCCCUGGUAUUCCGGGGGGCAUGCCUGUCCGAGCGUCAUUGCUGCCCUCAAGCACGGCUUGUGUGUUGGGCCCCGUCCUCCGAUCCCGGGGGACGGGCCCGAAAGGCAGCGGCGGCACCGCGUCCGGUCCUCGAGCGUAUGGGGCUUUGUCACCCGCUCUGUAGGCCCGGCCGGCGCUUGCCGAUCAACCCAAAUUUUUAUCCAGGUUGAACUCGGAUCAGGUAGGGAUACCCGCUGAACUUAAGCAUAUCAUAAGCGGAGGA
rnacentral:misc_RNA from 1 species